UCCCAUACAAAUUUUAAACCUCGGGCGCGAAAAUAUAGUAUUACCGAUCGACCUUAAACUUUGCAUAGUUCUUAUGGGACCCAAAAGGAACGCAAAACAGUUUGGUAGAAUGAAUAAAUAAACCUUUUCACAUUUUUUCCAUAAAACCUUUUCGCAUCCAAGUAUGCAUGGAAUUAAUUUUCAUGCAUUACCAAAGUUUUGUACAGCUUAUAUACAUACAGAUUCGAUUUUUCUCUGAAACCUACGGAAUAGUGGUUCAAGUAGUACUUUGAAACAUCAUUUAGAUCAAAUCCAAUUGAUUACUGAUUAAUUUCCGAUCAACAUGACACGAAAAUUACUACAAAUAUAACCCCAUAAAGCGAUUUUCAGCUUAGAAAAUGUUAAAAACUUCAACUCUGCUCCUCAGACAACCAACUGUCACGCCAACUGAAAAAGAAUCCAAAAAAGACUCAAUCCAAAGCCAUCUCGGAUUAUACGGAGCAGAGCAGGAAUCAGUUGGAUUACACGAGUCUGUACGUUCAUUUCGAGCCGGCGGAGCAGCUCCAACUUCCACGUUUUCUGACAAAUCUUGUUUUAAAACGGGGAAACACCAAUAUUCUGGAAUAACGCCAAGCGCAUCCUCGAAUUCCUCGCAACUACAUUCGUUUGAAUUUUCGUGUGUUGAUGCCUUGAUGGGUUGGACAACUCCAAUAUUGUUGUUAGCAGAAACUACCGCUGGCUUAUCUGGAACUAUGAAUUUAAAAAAGUAUGAUCAAGUGUUACAAUUUCUGAUAAUGACAAAUUCUUACCUGCAGAAGUUGUACAUUGCGAUGCCAACGAUGGUUUCCUAUUUACAAUAACAA